rnacentral:rRNA from 1 species
AUUGAACGCUGGCGGCAUGCUUUACACAUGCAAGUCGAACGGUAACAGGCCGCAAGGUGCUGACGAGUGGCGAACGGGUGAGUAAUGCAUCGGAACGUGCCCAGUCGUGGGGGAUAACGCAGCGAAAGCUGCGCUAAUACCGCAUACGAUCUAUGGAUGAAAGCGGGGGACCGUAAGGCCUCGCGCGAUUGGAGCGGCCGAUGUCAGAUUAGGUAGUUGGUGGGGUAAAGGCUCACCAAGCAAACGAUCUGUAGCUGGUCUGAGAGGACGACCGGCCACACUGGGACUGAGACACGGCCCAGACUCCUACGGGAGGCAGCAGUGGGGAAUUUUGGACAAUGGGCGCAAGCCUGAUCCAGCAAUGCCGCGUGCAGGAAGAAGGCCUUCGGGUUGUAAACUGCUUUUGUACGGAACGAAACGGCUCUGGUUAAUACCUGGGGCUAAUGACGGUACCGUAAGAAUAAGCACCGGCUAACUACGUGCCAGCCGCCGCCGUAAGAC